rnacentral:lncRNA from 1 species
UGGUUUUAUAGCGCUAAACCUCUCACUUGUACGACAGUCGCAUCAAUUUCCAUUAUAUUGACAAUGAUGCAUGAACAAAAUGUCACAAAUAGGGGUAGAAAAACAACACGGACCCCACCAAAAACUAGGGAUGAUUUCAGAUGCUAUGGAAGGGGAAGCAGAUCCUGCUCCAAAUGUGGCACCCGUCGUGUUGCUCAUGUUGUUAUCAAGCCGGUAAAUAGUCUAAUUCGGUAGGUGAAAUUCGUAAAAAGGGAAGGGGAUUGUGGGUACGACAUAAGGAACAUAUCCGAUAUCAUGAGUAUAACGAAUAUUCCACAACGUUCAACCAACUCGUGAUGGCGUCCGUAAUAUUAACGAAUUGAUGAUUACAACUUCACCAUUUGGAUCUCUUGGUUUUCAAA